GGAGGGCUACAGCUCUGUGGCAGAGCAUCUGCCUUGCAUGCAGAACGCCCCACAUUCAAUCUGUGGCAUCUCCG